AACGAACGCUGGCGGCAUGCCUAACACAUGCAAGUCGAACGAGACCUUCGGGUCUAGUGGCGCACGGGUGCGUAACGCGUGGGAACCUGCCCUUAGGUUCGGAAUCACUCCCCGAAAGGGGUGCUAAUACCGGAUAAGGUCUUCGGACCUAAGAUUUAUCGCCUUUGGCUGGGCCCGCGUUGGCUUAGCCAGUUGGUAGGGUAAAAGCCUACCAAGGCGACGAUCCAUAGCUGGUCGGAGAGGAUGAUCAGCCACACUGGGACUGAGACACGGCCCAGACUCCUACGGGAGGCAGCAGUGGGGAAUAUUAGACAAUGGGCGAAAGCCUGAUCCAGCAAUGCCGCGUGAGUGAUGAAGGCCUUAGGGUUGUAAAGCUCUUUUACCCGGGAUGAUAAUGACAGUACCGGGAGAAUAAGCUCCGGCUAACUCCGUG
rnacentral:rRNA from 1 species